ACGUGCCAAAAUGCAUGAUAGAGUUCCUCACAUCAGCCACCAACCAAGUGUUAAUAAAAAAAAUAUAUACAAAAUAACAGAAAUACAGCGACGACACAUUAUGUUGAACGUUAAAUCAAAUUAAUUUCAAAGGUUUAAAACGUCUCUCUCUGAUCUUCCUCUGAUGCGAUUUGCCACGCAAGCAGUUCUGCAUGGCAACAAGAGAACUAAUGCGCUGAUUGGUGGAUUACAAAAUUGGUGAUUUUCGCAUCGUCUCGUCAGUUGCUGAAACCAGUUCAAAUGUGAAGACGGGACGGGAGUUUUUCUUUGAGUAACAUUCUCGUGAGAUAGCUACAUAUUCGAUUAUCUUUUUUUCUGUGCAAGAAAGAACAUGGCAGCUAUGCACAGACCAUGUGGGUUAUUUUUCCCGGGCAAAGUUCAACAGAAUUGCUGGCAAAAACCUAAAGCAGGAUUUCUACGAGAACCUUGAUAGAUAUAGUCCACGGUUCAUGGACCUUUUUUUAAGCCAAAGUGGGGACUCCAGCCCAACCAACGGAGGUCCUAACCCUUGUGAUUCAAGGACUACCUAUCAUGCUUGGAGAUGAUGGUGACUUCAUUUCUUCAAGUCAUGUUUAGUGUCUGAUCAUCGCAACUCCAUCCUUAAUGUGCCAGUGGGCAUCUUAUUUGAGGACACUGACUUUCAGCCCCCCAAUUCCUUGUAUUUAACUUCUACGAUUGGAAUAAUAAAAUGCAGGACCUUCCACAGGCUAUGUGUCUCCUCUUCGGUCUGAUCUACGAACUUGAACUGAAUUACCCCAAAUCAUUUGGCAACACGUUUGAUUUCAUCCAGCGUGUGUUAAUGUCAAUGGGACAAUAUUCUCUCAAGCCUAAAUUGCAGUCUCUGGCAAACCAGCUUUUUGUAAAAAAACAAAAAAAAAAAACAAACAAACAAAAACUUCACUUUAACACCACCCUGAGAAUGUUCUACAAAUGAUUUGCAGGAUAUAUAUAUACCAUGUAUUGGUACCAUUUUUACUACCUCUUCAGUUUUGUGACCCAGAAAAUAUUUGUUUAAAAAAAAAUGCCACUUUGAGACUUUAAUAUUUCUGACAAUUUUUGUUUUGUGAGGGAAAAUGUGGUUUAAAUUGUGAAAUGCUCUAUAAUUAAUGUGCAUUAGUCAAUUUAGUAUAUUGUUACCAUUGUUGGUAACAAUACCUCUACAGUGUGUUCAAUUACAGUAUAGUUUGUACUGUAAUAUUGUGCAAAUAUUUGGUCAAAGACAGUGACUAUGGUCAGUAUGCUUUACUUAUUUUGCUGUGAUUGCAUAAAGCUUAAACCAGUAAAAUGUUAAAAGAAUGUACAUUACGUGUAAAUGUUCAGUACAUUUACAAAAAUCUGAGACUUAAGUGUAUUUUGUAAGUGAUCAGAGUUGUACAAUUGAUAUUGCACUACUUAAUGUUAGAUGCUGUUGCCACAUUUAAAGUUAUGUACAGUGUUGACUCAUUUCCAUUUGAAAUUUUGGUCAAUAAAGACUCAAAAGAUCAAUA